GCCCGGGGGGCUCCCGGGGGGCUCCCGGGGGGUUCCCGGGGGUCAGGGACAUGUGCCCGGGGAGUGCCCGCGCCUGGCAGCGCCGGGCUGGGAGACGGGCCACAGGACAGCAGGUGCGGUGGGCGCCCGCUGCCCCGACGUGUCCCGGUGGGACCGGCUGUCCCUGUGACACCGUGGAGCAUUCUUCAGUUCUUUCUUGGUCUUCCCCGGACGCCAUCGCUGGAUCUGUAAUUGAAAGACUUGGGUAAAGAUGACAGGAACAGUUACAGAGGGCAGCACAGACACUGUGAAGGCACCUGAAAGUGAACUUUAAAGAUCAAGACUAGUUUUUCAGGAAGGUAAAGUUCCUCAUCAUUCUUUGCUGCCCUGUGCCUCAGUGUCCAGGGGAAGGGGAUGGUAAAACCCCUUCCCACCUUCUGCUCCUGCAGUCCUUUGUCACCUGUGGCUUUCCUAGUUGUAGAGGUGGUUUUUACUUCUCCUGGGCUUUCCCUAGUCACCAGCAGGGCAUCUUGGAAGACAGGUCUGGGGCUGGCACAGUCACAGGAAAAAAGAGAAUUGUUAAAGGCGUAAUGGCACCAUGCUUUGUCAGUUUUUCAUCAGCUAAGCCCUGAUUUGGAUCUGAUUCUAUUCUGCAGCCAGAUGAGAGAGGGCAAAUUUAAUAAUCCAAAUAAGUGUGCAGCUUUUUGAACAAUUAGAGAGUCAACUGGUAAACACAAAACAUGUCUCACUUGUGACAGAUGACUCUAUUAUAAUAUCAGAAGUGUGAGUUCGUCAUAUUCAGGCAUCUUUAAAGUUCCCAAAAGUAGAGAAUUAAUCCAACAAUUCAGCUAUAAAAAAAUUACAAACUUAUAAACACCCAGAAGAGGAAUUUUGAAGAGAAAUUUGACAACCUUAAAUACAGUUGUAGUACCAGCCAUGUUACUGAAGCAGAGGUGUCAUACAUAACUGUGCAGGAUAUGUACAGUUCUGAUUAUAUUGUAAUUCAGACAACUUCCUAUUGUACAGAUC
rnacentral:lncRNA from 12 species